rnacentral:rRNA from 1 species
GCUAACUACGUGCCAGCAGCCGCGGUAAUACGUAGGGUGCAAGCGUUAAUCGGAAUUACUGGGCGUAAAGGGUGCGUCGGCGGUUUGGCAAGAAAGGUGUGAAAUCCCAGGGCUUAACCUUGGAACUGCACUUUUAACUGCCAGGCUAGAGUACGUCAGAGGGGGGUAGAAUUCCACGUGUAGCAGUGAAAUGCGUAGAGAUGUGGAGGAAUACCGAUGGCGAAGGCAGCCCCCUGGGAUGAUACUGACGCUCAGGCACGAAAGCGUGGGGAGCAAACAGGAUUAGAUACCCCUGUAGUC